UACAGAGGUCCCAAGCGUUGUUCGGAUUCAUUGGGCGUAAAGGGUGCGUAGGCGGCGCGGUAAGUCGGGUGUGAAAUCUCGGAGCUUAACUCCGAAACUGCAUUCGAUACUGCCGUGCUUGAGGACUGGAGAGGAGACUGGAAUUUACGGUGUAGCGGUGAAAUGCGUAGAUAUCGUAAGGAAGACCAGUGGCGAAGGCGACAUCCUGGACCGGUAUUGACGCUGAGGCGCGAAAGCCAGGGGAGCAAACGGG
rnacentral:rRNA from 1 species